rnacentral:misc_RNA from 1 species
AGAUCUACCAGAAGAUGGCAGACCCCAUCCACCUCGUCCACCAUAGCGGGAGUCAUUACGCCCUCCAUGUGAGCGUCCUUUAUCACGAGCACUGGGGUUACCCCACCGGCGGAAUGACUUGCCACCAUAACCACCACGCCUUGACAUGUCGCGCAACUCUGGGGGAACAGGCUGGCUUGACCCUUCCAGAACUUUGAUCAGAUCGGAUGCAUACUUUGAAUCCUGGUCGCUGAAAAAUGUGUAAGCCACACCAGUAGCACCUGCCCUACCUGUUCUCCCAAUCCUAUGGACAUAGUCUUCAAUAUCUGUAGGGAAGUCAAAAUUGAUGACAACUCUGAUAUCCUUUAUGUCCAGGCCUCGAGAAGCCACAUCAGUAGCUACAAGUAUUGGGGAUCUUCCAGAACGAAAUUGUCCGAGAACCCUGUCUCUCUCACCCUGUGACUUGUCUCCAUGAAUAGCAGCAGCACCAAAUUUACGAUUAAGGGUUCUAGAUAGCUCAUCACACAUCCUCUU